UACAGAGGCCCCGAGCGUUAGGCGGAAUCACUGGGCUUAAAGCGUGUGUAGGCGGACUUCUAAGUACCUUGUGAAAUCCCACGGCUCACCCGUGGAACUGCUUGGUAUACUGGUUGUCUUGAGCCUUCUAGGGGCGAGUGGAACAAAUGGUGGAGCGGUGAAAUGCGUAGAUAUCAUUUGGAACGCCAAUGGUGAAAACAACUCGCUGGGGAAGUGCUGACGCUGAGACACGAAAGCCAGGGGAGCGAACGGG
rnacentral:rRNA from 1 species